rnacentral:rRNA from 1 species
UACGGGGGGGGCAAGCGUUGUUCGGAAUUACUGGGCGUAAAGGGCUCGUAGGCGGCCAACUAAGUCAGACGUGAAAUCCCUCAGCUUAACUGGGGAACUGCGUCUGAUACUGGAUGGCUUGGAUUCGGGAGAGGAAUGCGGAAUUCCAGGUGUAGCGGUGAAAUGCGUAGAUAUCGGAAGGAACAUCAGUGGCGAAAGCGACUUCCUGGACCAGUACCGACGUUCAGGCACGAAAGCGUGGGGAGCAAACAGGG